GUGUGUGUUCAUUCCUGUCCUGAGGCUGUGGGAGCUGACUUUUUUUUCAAGACCUCUGCCUUGGCUGGAAGAUGAUGCUCAAACCCCUGAAUAGAGAAGCAAUGGUUUCAAACAUCCAAGUCACCACAGGGGAGAAAUCAAGAGUUGUUUCUCUCUGUUGGGUUCUUCACUGCUUAUAAACUUUGGAGAUUUGAAUGCCUGUGGACUCCCUUAAUUAGUGCUCUUGAGCCAAACAGGUGGCACAGCUGUGCCCUGCUGGUGAGGGGAGAGCUUUCAGCCUGAAAAAAGACAACAGAAAGGUACAAGAGAAACCUAUAAGGCAGGGAUGUGGCAAGAGGAGGCAGGGGGGCAACUACGGGCCAUUGACGUGGGGGGGAUUGCAGGGGUGUGGAAUGAGUCCAAUCUAAAACAAAUGAAGGAAAAUUAUAACUUUUCCCCACUUUCUCUGGCAGCAAAAGAACUUUUAAACAAGCAAUUCCAGCUUCUUUUAUUAUCAAGGAAAAUAGUCUGUUAUAGCAACAUACCUGUGUGGUUCUGAGAGCGUGGAAAACUUGGUAAACAAGCAGGAAAUGAAAGUGAGAAUUAAUUCAAUCCCAAAUUUGCCAUAGAAAGGAACAGUUGAGAAAUCACUGGUGCUGUUUAAUAACUGCUAAAAGGGAGAGGAUAAAUACAAUAUUAAUUUUGUGGCUUUUUUUUUGCACUUCAGUGAACAUACAUUUUUGUAAUUGUAUUUACUGGGUUUGGCUGUGUUGAAAGAUAAGGGAUAAUUACAUUCUUGCCUGAUGGGAAGAAGCCUUCAACAUUAUGCCUUUUUUUAGUAUGUUAACAAUACUGUAAUAUUCAGGAAUUCAAUCAGAUAAUAAUUAAUGACAAAAGAAAACAUUCUUAAUGAAUGAGUUCCAUGAACUUGAUCUGUGCUCCGAAAACUGAAAAUCCUUCUGUUAUCUCACUGUAAAUACAGACCUGAGAGCCUCCAGUCCAUCCCAGCCCCAUUUGUUGGGUGGCUGUUGCUUGUGUGAGGGCUGGUGUGACUGUGUGCUGUCAGCUGGGUGGAGUAUUUUGGUGCUCUUUCCAGUUUUGAUUGGGGUUCCCAACCCUAGGUUACCAUUUUGCACCUGCUAUUAAGUUCACAUGUUCUUUUCAAGUGCUGUUGACUGAUGUUAUGGGAAAACCACAGUAUCCAGGGCUUUGUUCAAACAGCCAUAGGUACUGCUGGAUUUCAUAAUCUGCUUUCAAACCAGAUUGAGAUGGCCCUGGCAUGCUUGCAUGUGUAUGGCUGUAUAAACAAAUGCAC
ensembl:lncRNA